GGAACUUAGCGGCGAAUGGGUGAGUAACACGUACUUAACAUGCCCUCUAGAUUGGAAUAACGAUUAGAAAUGAUCGCUAAUGCCGGAUACUUAUUUCCUUCGCAUGAAGGAUAUAUAAAAGGAGCGUUUGCUUCGCUAGAGGAUUGGGGUGCGUAACAUUAGCUAGUUGGUAGGGUAAUGGCCUACCAAGGCUAUGAUGUUUAGCGGGGUUGAGAGACUGAUCCGCCACACUGGGACUGAGAUACGGCCCAGACUCCUACGGGAGGCAGCAGUAGGGAAUUUUCCACAAUGGACGAAAGUCUGAUGGAGCGACACAGCGUGCAGGAUGACGGCCUUCGGGUUGUAAACUGCUGUUAUAAGGGAAGAAAAAAUAAAGUAGGAAAUGACUUUAUCUUGACGGUACCUUGUCAGAAAGCAACGGCUAACUAUGUGCCAGCAGCCGCGGUAAUACAUAGGUUGCAAGCGUUAUCCGGAAUUAUUGGGCGUAAAGCGUCUGUAGGUUGUUUGUUAAGUCUGACGUGAAAACUUGGGGCUCAACCCCAAAUUGCGUUGGAUACUGGCAAACUAGAGUUAUGAAGAGGUUAGCGGAAUUCCUUGUGAAGCGGUGAAAUGCGUAGAUAUAAGGAAGAACACCAACUUGGCGAAGGCAGCUAACUGGGCAUACACUGACACUGAGAGACGAAAGCGUGGGGAGCAAACAGGAUUAGAUACCCUGGUAGUCCACGCUGUAAACGAUGAUGAUUAGCUGAUGGGGAACUCAUCGGCACAGCUAACGCAUUAAAUCAUCCGCCUGAGUAGUAUGCUCGCAAGAGUGAAACUUAAAGGAAUUGACGGGGAUCCGCACAAGCGGUGGAGCAUGUGGUUUAAUUUGAAGAUACGCGUAGAACCUUACCCACUCUUGACAUCUUCCGCAAAGCUAUAGAGAUAUAGUGGAGGUUAACAGAGUGA
rnacentral:rRNA from 1 species